UGUCUCUUGCUUCAACAGUGUUUGGACGGAACAGAUCCGGGGACUCUCUUCCAGCCUCCGACCGCCCUCCGAUUUCCUCUCCGCUUGCAACCUCCGGGACCAUCUUCUCGGCCAUCUCCUGCUUCUGGGACCUGCCAGCACCGUUUUUGUGGUUAGCUCCUUCUUGCCAACCAACCAUGAGCUCCCAGAUUCGUCAGAAUUAUUCCACCGACGUGGAGGCAGCCGUCAACAGCCUGGUCAAUUUGUACCUGCAGG
rnacentral:lncRNA from 1 species